UCGGGAAUUUUGGGCAAUGGGGGAAACCCUGACCCAGCCAUGCCGCGUGCAGGAAGAAGGCCCUAUGGGUCGUAAACUGCUUUUGAACAAGAGAAAACCCCGGUACGUGUACUGGGUUGAUAGUAUUGUUAGAAUAAGCAUCGGCUAACUUCGUGCCAGCAGCCGCGGUAAGACGAAGGAUGCAAGCGUUAUCCGGAUUCAUUGGGUUUAAAGGGUGCGUAGGCGGACUGAUAAGUCAGUGGUGAAAUCUCUCGGCUUAACCGAGAAACUGCCAUUGAUACUGUUAGUCUAGAGUACAGAUGAUGUGGGCGGAAUAUGACAUGUAGUGGUGAAAUACUUAGAUAUGUCAUAGAACACCGAUUGCGAAGGCAGCUCACAAAACUGUAACUGACGCUGAGGCACGAAAGUGCGGGGAUCAAACAGGAUUAGAUACCCCAGUAGUCCCUGAGCGGGCUGGCAAGGCGCAU
rnacentral:rRNA from 1 species